GGCCUAACACAUGCAAGUCGAACGAGACCUUCGGGUCUAGUGGCGCACGGGUGCGUAACGCGUGGGAAUCUGCCCUUGGGUUCGGGAUAACAGUUGGAAACGACUGCUAAUACCGGAUGAUGACUUCGGUCCAAAGAUUUAUCGCCCAGGGAUGAGCCCGCGUAGGAUUAGCUAGUUGGUGAGGUAAAGGCUCACCAAGGCGACGAUCCUUAGCUGGUCUGAGAGGAUGAUCAGCCACACUGGGACUGAGACACGGCCCAGACUCCUACGGGAGGCAGCAGUGGGGAAUAUUGGACAAUGGGCGAAAGCCUGAUCCAGCAAUGCCGCGUGAGUGAUGAAGGCCUUAGGGUUGUAAAGCUCUUUUACCCGGGAUGAUAAUGACAGUACCGGGAGAAUAAGCCCCGGCUAACUCCGUGCCAGCAGCCGCGGUAAUACGGAGGGGGUUAGCGU
rnacentral:rRNA from 1 species